AAGCUGGUACCUUCGGUAUCCGCGUUGUAACCUCGAGACACGUUUUCCGUGCGGCGCUAUGGACAAGUUCCUUGGAACAGGACAUCGUAGAGGGUGAAAAUCCCGUACUUGCCAUGGAUGUACCGUGCUUUGCGAUACGUGCUCUAAGAGUCGAGUUGUUUGGGAUUGCAGCUCAAAAUGGGUGGUAGACUCCAUCUAAAGCUAAAUAUCGGGGAGAGACCGAUAGCGAACAAGUACCGUGAGGGAAAGAUGAAAAGCACUUUGGAAAGAGAGUUAAAAGUACGUGAAAUUGUCGAAAGGGAAGCGCUUGAAGUCAGCCAUGCCGCUCAGGACUCAGCCUGGCUUUUGCUUGGUGUAUUUCCUGGGUAGCAAGUCAGCAUUGGUUUGGAUCGUCGGAGAAGCAUAGUCGGAAUGUGGCGCCCUCGGGCGUGUUAUAGCCUUUUAUUGGAUACGACGAUCUAGACCAAGGAACGCAGCGCGCCUUAUGGCGGGUCUUCGGA
rnacentral:rRNA from 1 species